GAUGAAGAACGUAGCGAAAUGCGAUAAGUAAUGUGAAUUGCAGAAUUCAGUGAAUCAUCGAAUCUUGAACGCACAUUGCGCCCGCCAGUAUUCUGGCGGGCAUGCCUGUCUGAGCGUCAUUUCAACCCUCAUGCCCCUAGGGCGUGGUGUUGGGGAUCGGCCAAAGCCCGCGAGGGACGGCCGGCCCCUAAAUCUAGUGGCGGACCCGUCGUGGCCUCCUCUGCGAAGUAGUGAUAUUCCGCAUCGGAGAGCGAUGAGCCCCUGCCGUUAAACCCCCAACUUUCCAAGGUUGACCUCAGAUCAGGUAGGAAUACCCGCUGAACUUAAGCAUAUCAAUAAGCGGAGGA
rnacentral:misc_RNA from 1 species